GAAAAAAAAAAAAACAAAGAUGAAUAUGCUAAAAAGGGUUGGGAAAGUUCAACCGUAAAUAGAAAAAUACAUCGUAAACCUGCAGGAAAAAUAUGAAAUCGCGAAACCGUUGCAACAAAAAUGCACCUUCCCUUCUUAAUUUGCUUUUGCCUUUGGACCCUUCUUCUUUGAAGAUGAGGAGGAUGAUCUCCUGGGCAUUGAGUUCUUCAUGCCAAUGAAAAACAAUAGUGCACCUAGCAACGCCAAGUUCUGAGAAAAUUUGAAAAAGAGUUGAACGAAUUCCUUCUUGUCAACAUCAUAGUUGUAGAAGUCGUACAAAACUGGGGAAGCAACGGCCUGAUGUAUCAGCAGAAGAAGAGCUCCAAGAGUGCUGCCGAAGACGAAUAAAAGGCUUCCAAGACCCUUCAAAACUAUGGCCCCCAAAAUAAGAUGUUUCAUCUCUACAUGGGGU
rnacentral:misc_RNA from 1 species